rnacentral:rRNA from 1 species
GGGUCACCUCCCACCCGUGUUUAUUUUACCUUGUUGCUUCGGCGGGCCCGCCUUUACUGGCCGCCGGGGGGCUCACGCCCCCGGGCCCGCGCCCGCCGAAGACACCCCCGAACUCUGUCUGAAGAUUGAAGUCUGAGUGAAAAUAUAAAUUAUUUAAAACUUUCAACAACGGAUCUCUUGGUUCCGGCAUCGAUGAAGAACGCAGCGAAAUGCGAUACGUAAUGUGAAUUGCAAAUUCAGUGAAUCAUCGAGUCUUUGAACGCACAUUGCGCCCCCUGGUAUUCCGGGGGGCAUGCCUGUCCGAGCGUCAUUGCUGCCCUCAAGCCCGGCUUGUGUGUUGGGCCCCGUCCUCCGAUUCCGGGGGACGGGCCCGAAAGGCAGCGGCGGCACCGCGUCCGGUCCUCGAGCGUAUGGGGCUUUGUCACCCGCUCUGUAGGCCCGGCCGGCGCUUGCCGAUCAACCCAAAUUUUUAUCCAGGUUGACCUCGGAUCAGGUAGGGAUACCCGCUGAACUUAAGCAUAUCAUA